rnacentral:rRNA from 1 species
UCGGGUAAUUUUGGGCAAUGGGCGAAAGCCUGACCCAGCAACGCCGCGUGAAGGAUGAAGUAUUUCGGUAUGUAAACUUCGAAAGAAUAGGAAGAAUAAAUGACGGUACUAUUUAUAAGGUCCGGCUAACUACGUGCCAGCAGCCGCGGUAAUACGUAGGGACCAAGCGUUGUUCGGAUUUACUGGGCGUAAAGGGCGCGUAGGCGGUGUGUCAAGUCAGUUGUGAAAUCUCCGAGCUUAACUCGGAACGGUCAACUGAUACUGUCACACUAGAGUACAGAAGGGGCAAUCGGAAUUCUUGGUGUAGCGGUGAAAUGCGUAGAUAUCAAGAGGAACACCUGAGGUGAAGACGGGUUGCUGGGCUGACACUGACGCUGAGGC